GUCACUCCCACUGUUCUAAAGGCUGAAUUCCUGCUCUGCCAAGAUUCUCCAGUGAGAGAAGAGGUUACUCUCAUCUCCGUGAAAAAUGAAUAUUGGGAGAUGGGGAAAAUAAGUCAUUCAGCAGAAGGGUGAGGCUCCUGUAUGCCAGUAGUUCCUCCUGAUCCCUCCCAAGCUGCUAAUGUGGCC
rnacentral:lncRNA from 1 species